rnacentral:sRNA from 1 species
GGAAAUUGUAACCUAACCUUUGAGGAGC